rnacentral:tRNA from 1 species
CGCGGAUUGGGGGAGUAGUAACCCGCUUGCCUCAUAAGCAAGAGAUCGCUGGUGCAAUUCCAGCAUCCGCAACCA